CUCGUAGGCGGCCAACUAAGUCGGACGUGAAAUCCCCAGGCUCAACCUGGGAACUGCGUCCGAUACUGGAUGGCUUGAAUCCGGGAGAGGGAUGCAGAAUUCCAGGUGUAGCGGUGAAAUGCGUAGAUAUCUGGAGGAAUACCGGUGGCGAAGGCGGCAUCCUGGACCGGCAUUGACGCUGAGGAGCGAAAGCCAGGGAGCAACG
rnacentral:rRNA from 1 species